UACGUAGGUGGCAAGCGUUGUCCGGAAUUAUUGGGCGUAAAGCGCGCGCAGGCGGUCCUUUAAGUCUGAUGUGAAAGCCCACGGCUCAACCGUGGAGGGUCAUUGGAAACUGGAGGACUUGAGUGCAGGAGAGAAGAGUGGAAUUCCACGUGUAGCGGUGAAAUGCGUAGAGAUGUGGAGGAACACCAGUGGCGAAGGCGGCAUCCUGGCCCUGUCCGUGACG
rnacentral:rRNA from 1 species